UACGUAGGGCGCAAGCGUUGUCCGGAAUUAUUGGGCGUAAAGAGCUCGUAGGCGGCCUGUUGCGUCCGCUGUGAAAUCCCGGGGCUCAACCCCGGGCCUGCAGUGGAUACGGGCUGGCUAGAGGCAGGCAGGGGAGAACGGAAUUCCUGGUGUAGCGGUGAAAUGCGCAGAUAUCAGGAGGAACACCGGUGGCGAAGGCGGGUCUCUGGGCCGAUACUGACGCUGACAGCGCGAAAGCCAGGGGAGCAAACGGG
rnacentral:rRNA from 1 species